GGCGAUGUAGCUCCCUUGGUAGAGUGUUUGCCUGGCAUGCACAAGGUCCCAGGUUUGAUUCCCCAGCACUGCAU
rnacentral:tRNA from 1 species